AGCAAUCUUGUUGAAAGGAUUUUGGAAAUUAUCUUACAGGAGAAAUUACAUAGACUUAUGGGCCUCAGAUCCGAGAAAGUAUUUGGUGAUUCUAUCUUUUGUAUCAAUGCUAAGCAAGUAUGAUUAAAGAACUUUGUAAGAUUGCCUCCAUUGAAAAAGUACUGAACAUAUGCAACGACAUCUUCUUUAAUUAUAUCCCAGCACCUCUGAUAGAAAGUACCAUCGUAUCCAUCCGGUCCAGUAGAACUAGAUGGAUUCAUACUGAAGAUUGCCUCUUUAAUCUCCUCUUCUUCUGGAAUAAUUGUCAACAGAAAGUUCUCUUCAUUAGAUAUACACCUUGGGAUACACUGCAGAACUGAACUAUUAAUAGUGAUUGGUUCCAAGUUAAAGAGCUUCUUAAAGUGCCUGAUAGCAGUCCUUGAUAUCUUCUCUCCCCCCUGUAUCCAGUUGCCCCUAUGGUUCUUAAUCUUGUGCAGCUGCAACCUUCUCAUCCUUUCCCCGAUAACAGUGCGGAAGAACUUACUGUUAUUGUCUCCUUCUUCAAACCACUUAAUUUCUUUCAUUUUUGCUUAAGAAUCUUGGCAUACGAAUGUUCACGUGAUAUUUUGGCCAUUUAUCGAGCAAACAUUUGCAUCCAAACAUUUCCAACAAACAAAAAUCUAGACAUUAAGCUUAAGGAACUGCCCAUGAAUAGACUAAACUGAUCUAUACUCCUAAUACGGAAAUUUCAGAAAAUUCAAGUUUAACAGAUCCAAGCAAUUAAGUUCUAUAUUAUUGAACCUAUUAAUUUAAGAACUCAAAUCAAACUCACUUUGUUACUUAAAUGAAUUUAAUCCAAAUCCUACUCCAAAUUUUAAGACGUAUACUUAUCAAAUGUGAAACUAAAUUAAGCAAACUAAAAUCCCCUUCCUCAUUGACAUGUCACUGCCAACAGAGAGUGUCAAGCACAAAAGGAACGAGAGUCAGACAAAAAAUUAGGUUUAAAUUCAUUUUAGACAUAGACUAACACAGAGGAACAUGAAUCAGAUAACCAAACAACCAUUAAUUUAUUUCAAGCAGAGAGUGAGAUAGAAGAGAUGAACCUCAAUGUUGAGCUUUUCCAAUUAAAGGUAACUCCGGCAAUGUAUACAACGAAUAAAAUGGACAGCAAUCUAACUCGACCAAACAGGACCUUCUCAUCCUUUCCCCGAUAACAGUGCGGAAGAAAUUACAUAGACUUAUGGGCCUCAGAUCCGAGAAAGUAUUUGGUGAUUCUAUCUUUUGUAUCAAUGCUAAGCAAGUAUGAUUAAAGAACUUUGUAAGAUUGCCUCCAUUGAAAAAGUACUGAACAUAUGCAACGACAUCUUCUUUAAUUAUAUCCCAGCACCUCUGAUAGAAAGUACCAUCGUAUCCAUCCGGUCCAGUAGAACUAGAUGGAUUCAUACUGAAGAUUGCCUCUUUAAUCUCCUCUUCUUCUGGAAUAAUUGUCAACAGAAAGUUCUCUUCAUUAGAUAUACACCUUGGGAUACACUGCAGAACUGAACUAUUAAUAGUGAUUGGUUCCAAGUUAAAGAGCUUCUUAAAGUGCCUGAUAGCAGUCCUUGAGAUCUUCUCUCCCCCUGUAUCCAGUUGCCCCUAUGGUUCUUAAUCUUGUGCAGCUGCAACCUUCUCAUCCUUUCCCCGAUAACAGUGCGAAAGAACUUACUGUUAUUGUCUCCUUCUUCAAACCACUUAAUUUCUUUCAUUUUUGCUUAAGAAUCUUGGCAUACGAAUGUUCACGUGAUAUUUUGGCCAUUUAUCGAGCAAACAUUUGCAUCCAAACAUUUCCAACAAACAAAAAUCUAGAC
rnacentral:lncRNA from 1 species